UCAGGGCUAGCUGCACCAAAUCGGUCGCUGUCAGCUUCCUCCAUUUGUUUGCAUAGGUCAAUUAUAUAUCGUCAAGCUUGAGAGGUGCAUACUGCAAUUUGAUUCCCAGGAGAACAUUGCGUUUUCACUAGGAGGAGACAAGCUCGUCUGUCUUCAGGAUUUGCGUCGUCCGUAACGAUUCUCCCGGAAUGGUUCCGCAUUGGCUGUUUCAACUUUUUUUCCUUUUCUUUUUGAUAGGGACAUUGGCUGUUUCAACUCGUUUUAUCAGGUGGCUGGCAACGCCGACCUAAGCCAUCGCCGCGUGGGAUUUCAAUUCUGAGGCUGCACUCCAAAACCUUCACCUCCAAGGAGCUCAACGUUCAUUAAAAAAAAAGUAGCUCAACGAACACGCCACACCUUCUUUUAAGAAGAGACAAAAAAAUUGCCUUAUUAUUACCUAGCU
rnacentral:lncRNA from 1 species